CCCUUAGAUGUUCUGGGCGGCCCGCGCACUACAUUGGCACUAGCGAAGAGAUCCUAGAUUGAAUUCUUUGGGGUAUUCUUCUAAAUGGUGUCGUGACUGGGAUAAAUCCUUGUAAUUAUUGGUUUUGAACGAGGAAUUCCUUGUAAUCGCGGUUUAUCAGCUCGCGUUGAAUGCGUCCCUGCCCUUUGUACACACCGCCCGUCGCUCCUACCGAUUGAAUGUUCCGAUGAAUACCAUGGACUGAGAGUAUGAAUGGGUUCGCUUAUUUCUGCUUCUCGGGAAGUGGAGUAAAUCUUAACAUUUAGAGGAAGGAGAAGUCGCAACA
rnacentral:rRNA from 1 species